rnacentral:rRNA from 1 species
CCUACGGGAGGCAGCAGUGAGGAAUAUUGGUCAAUGGACGAGAGUCUGAACCAGCCAAGUAGCGUGAAGGAUGACUGUCCUAUGGGUUGUAAACUUCUUUUAUAAAGGAAUAAAACGAGGCACGUGUGCCUUUUUGCAUGUACUUUAUGAAUAAGGAUCGGCUAACUCCGUGCCAGCAGCCGCGGUAAUACGGAGGAUCCGAGCGUUAUCCGGAUUUAUUGGGUUUAAAGGGAGCGUAGAUGGGUUGUUAAGUCAGUUGUGAAAGUUUGCGGCUCAACCGUAAAAUUGCAAUUGAUACUGGCAGUCGUGAGUACAGUUGAGGUAGGCGGAAUUCGUGGUGUAGCGGUGAAAUGCUUAGAUAUCACGAAGAACCCCGAGUGCGAAGGCAGCUUACUAAACUGUGACUGACAUUGAUGCUCGAAAGUGUGGGUAUCAAACAGGAUUAGAUACCCCUGUAGUC